rnacentral:sRNA from 1 species
GCUGGGUGCAGUGGUGUUCACCUGUAAUCCCAGCAGCUUGGGAGGCUGAGUCAGGAGGAUAGUUCAAAGCCAGCUGCAGCAAAUUAGUAAGGUUCUAAUCAUCUUAGCAAGAUCCUGUGUCUA